AGCUCCAAUAGCGUAUAUUAAUGUUGUUGCAGUUAAAAAGCUCGUAGUUGAAUUUCUGGUUAAGAUAUUAGCUGGCUUCGGUCGUUAAUGUGUUAAUCAUCCGUUAGAGAACUAUAAACGUCCUUAACUGGUCAUUAUAGAGAUCUAACAUUUUACUUUGAAAAAAUUAGAGUGUUCAAGGCAGGCAAUCGUCAUGAAUACUAUAGCAUGGAAUAAUGGAAUAGGACUUUGGUUCAUUUUAUUGGUUAUUGAACCUUAGUAAUGAUUAACAGGGACAGUUGGGGGCAUUAGUAUUUAAUUGUCAGAGGUGAAAUUCUUGGAUUUAUUAAAGACUAACUUAUGCGAAAGCAUUUGCCAAGGAUGUUUUCAUUA
rnacentral:rRNA from 1 species